GUUCUGCAGUCCGAGGAUCCUGUCCAACGAGAGAUCUUUGACAGGCUUGAAACACUGCAGCAACCUUUAAUUUAGAGAAAUUAUUUCCAGUAGGGAAAGCGGCUGGUCAUGUGCAGGACUCAAAUUAGGACCAACAACAACAACACCUCCCCCCCCCCCCAAAGAAAUCAGGAUGCAUCAUACCAUCCAGGCUUGGCUUAGCUCUGAGAUUGAUUUGUGCCUUACCAGCAGCUGUUCAAAUAAGGAGCUGCCCCGAGGAAAGAUCUGUACAAAUGACUGGGCGGGUUUUGGUUUUUGGUUUUUUUUUCAGUUCUUUGCCUCUCACCUAAAACCCUGAAACAACUGGUUGCCCUUGCAACGGAUGAUUAUAAUAAUUACUGGAAAACAAUUGAAGUGUGAUCAGGCAGGGAGGGUGGUAAUUGAAAUAUUGACAGGUGGUUGCUUUGUGCCAAAUAGGAGUUUCUAAUAUCAGCUGUGUUUGAAGGACUCCCAG